GUGGGGGGGGAAGCCCACCGGGCCGGUCGCUGAGGAGAAGAGGGGUGAGGCGGCGAGGGAGCGGGGUGGGGUGGGAGCCCGGCUGCCGCCCAGCAGAGCGGGCGAGCGGGAACUGGACGCCGCUCGCCGCGCUGCCGCGGCUGCACCUCCCCUAACCCUGCCCCCCUCCCGGAGGGGGAGCCGCCGGCGGGAGGAGGCGGCCGAGAGCCCCCUCCAGCGUUCACCGGCGGCGGUAGCUCCGGCUCGCCAUGGCCGCUCGCCUCAACGGUGCCGCCCGCCAGCAGGUACCCGGGGCGGCCCGUCGGGGGAGGGGAGGAGGAGCCGCGACCACCGCCCUGCCGUGCCGGUGAGGAGUCCAGAAGACACCAGCCAUGCCCAGAAGGCAGCACCCAGCUGUAAUGGUGUUGGCAAAAUGAGAGACAAGUAAUGACCCUUCUGAGCAAAAUUGACCAAGGUUAAACUUGGAAUUCCUGUCAGUCACUGGUAACUCGGGAAUACUUCAGUAUUUACCCCUGGGUUACAGUCCCCUGGGAAGACUCUGCCAACAUGCAUCCUUCCCACUUUUUUUGGAAGAAGAUUCCUAAAUUCCAGUUCAGCAACCAGCAUGGCUCAUCUGGUGCCACAGGGGAGCUUUGAACCUCCUCUGCUAGGAGCAACACACAGCACACGUCUUCCACAAGAAAAUAACCCUCAAGGCAUUCACUGCUCACUGUUAAAUUUUCAGUAUCUAUUGCUAAAUAAGUGAAACUCCACUACAAACACUUAUGGCCGGCACCACGUCCUCCACAAGAAAAUAACCCUCAAGGCAUUCACUGCUCACUGUUAAAUUUUCAGUAUCUAUUGCUAAAUAAGUGAAACUCCACUACAAACACUUAUGGUGCAUCUACUUGUUACAUUAGCUCAAGUUAUUCUUAAGCCAAGAGUGCUACUAAUACUAAACUCCACAGACAUUUUGAUUUCAUAGUUUAAGGAGCUGUAGUUGCGGUGCAUCUACUGUUACAUUAGCUCAAGCUAUUCUUAAGCCAAGAGUGCUACCAAUACUAAACUCCAAAGACAUUUUGAUUUCAUAGUUUAAGGAGCUGCCCCUGAAGUGAGGUCACAGGCAGCCUCUUGAGUGAGAAAGCAAAGUCAUAAAAAUCGAAGCCCAGGUGAACAUACCAGGUCCUACCUUACCUUCUUGAAAACACAGGGAGAAAAUUACAUCACUGAUCUGAACUGGAAUGACAGGAGCAGAUCUGCCAGAGAUUGUGGAAAGUCUCCUCAGAGCAGAAAUCACUGUUUCUCGUCUCCAAAGCAAAGAGGUGAAUUUCACACUAAUUCCAGCCUUGCAAGAGCGGUUGGAGAUCAUCGUCCCAGGCUGUCAUUCCCAGGCUGAUUCUCUAAAUUCGGUCAGAUUAGCUGAGAGAUUGUUUGGUUUCUUCUCUAUCAGAUAAUUAGAAAGAUCACAGUCAAUUCUGCAAGCAAAAAUCUGUGAAUGCAUAACAAAUGUAAAGACCAAACAUUUGGGCCCCCCGGGCUGUGAAGGAACAAGACACCGCCUUUGAAAAGCAAAUACUCCAAUACAGAAAAGUUCUAAAAGCUCAAGAGACAAAACCUAGAUUUCUGCUGGAAUAAUCAUACUGUUACUGAGCUUGGCAUUUUGUAUUCAAAGAUACAAACCAGACAGCUUUCUCGUGUCCUGAAUGUGUCUCCAUUCCUUAUCUAACUUUUGGGUCAGAAAAGAUGCUGCAGAAACCUUUUCUUCAGCAAAAAGCAAACCAAAUUUAGGGCUUCCAGGGUUAUAGCACUGGGUAACAUCUCCUGGAUGAGGCUCCUGUGAAAAAGGAAAAUCAAUUCAGUAGUGGCAAAGAGGCACAAACUUGGUGUUAAACUUAUUAAAAGUUAGUGUGUUAAUAGUACAGGCAGACAAAAAUCAGAGAAAUCUAACUAACUGAAUGACAACGAGACAGCGAUGGAGGGAGCUUAUACCCUCCCGAAAUAAAAGCACCUUCUGAAUCCCA
rnacentral:lncRNA from 1 species